AGGUUACUGCUAUCGAGGUUCGACUAAGCCAUGCGAGUCGAAUGUAGCAAUACAUGGCGUACUGCUCAGUAACACGUGGACAACCUACCCUUGGGACGGGGAUAAACCCGGGAAACUGGGUAUAAUACCCGAUAGAUCUCGAAAGCUGGAAUGCAUCGAGGUCGAAAGCUCCGGUGCCCAAGGAUGGGUCUGCGGCCUAUCAGGUUGUAGUGGGUGUAGCGUACCUACUAGCCUACGACGGGUACGGGUUGUGAGAGCAAGAGCCCGGAGAUGGAUUCUGAGACACGAAUCCAGGCCCUACGGGGUGCAGCAGGCGCGAAAACUUUACAAUGCCGGCAACGGCGAUAAGGGAACCUCGAGUGCCAGGUUACAAAUCUGGCUGUCGUGAUGCCUAAAAAGCAUUGCAUAGCAAGGGCCGGGCAAGACCGGUGCCAGCCGCCGCGGUAACACCGGCGGCUCGAGUGGUAACCGUUAUUAUUGGGUCUAAAGGGUCUGUAGCCGGCCGGGUAAGUCUCUUGGGAAAUCUGGCAGCUUAACUGUCAGGCUUUCAGGAGAUACUGCCUGGCUCGAGGCCGGGAGAGGUGAGAGGUACUUCAGGGGUAGGGGUGAAAUCUUGUAAUCCUUGAAGGACCACCAGUGGCGAAGGCGUCUCACCAGAACGGACCUGACGGCAAGGGACGAAAGCUAGGGGCACGAACCGGAUUAGAUACCCGGGUAGUCCUAGCCGUAAACGAUACUCGCUAGGUGUCGGCCACGGUGCGACCGUGGUCGGUGCCGUAGGGAAGCCGUGAAGCGAGCCACCUGGGAAGUACGGCCGCAAGGCUGAAACUUAAAGGAAU
rnacentral:rRNA from 1 species